rnacentral:rRNA from 1 species
AUUGAACGCUGGCGGCAGGCCUAACACAUGCAAGUCGAACGAGUGGCGGACGGGUGAGUAAUACAUCGGAAUCUGCCCUGUCGAGGGGGAUAACGUCGGGAAACUUACGCUAAUACCGCAUACGAUUGAAUGAGCCGAUGUGGGAUUAGCUAGUUGGGGGGGUAAAGGCCCACCAAGGCGACGAUCCGUAGCUGGUCUGAGAGGAUGAUCAGCCAAACUGGAACUGAGACACGGUCCAGACUCCUACGGGAGGCAGCAGUGGGGAAUAUUGGACAAGGGGCGCAAGCCUGAGCCAGCCAUUCCGCGUGGGUGAAGAAGGCCUUCGGGUUGUAAAGCCCUUUUGUUGGGAAAGCGGUACCCAAAGAAGAAGCACCGGCUAACUUCGUGCCAGCCGCCGCGGUAAUUC